UAAGCAGUGAUGAGCAGCUAACAUAUAAGAACCCAUUAGGAAGUGGGAUUUUCCGUGAAAUACACUUUACGCUUGGCUUCUGAGCUUU
rnacentral:snoRNA from 1 species